UACGGAGGAUGCAAGCGUUAUCCGGAAUGAUUGGGCGUAAAGCGUCCGCAGGUGGCAAUGUAAGUCUGCUGUCAAAGCGUCUGGCUCAACCAGAUAAAGGCAGUGGAAACUACAUAGCUAGAGUGAGGUAGGGGUAGAGGGAAUUCCUGGUGUAGCGGUGAAAUGCGUAGAGAUCAGGAAGAACACCGGUGGCGAGAGCGCUCUGCUGGACCUAAACUGACACUGAGGGACGAAAGCUAGGGGAGCGAAUGGG
rnacentral:rRNA from 1 species